CGCGCGUUCGGCUAUGGGUAGGCUCUCGUCCUUUCAAGUCGGGGAAACGGGUUCGAGUCCCGUACGCGCGACCA
rnacentral:tRNA from 2 species